rnacentral:lncRNA from 1 species
ACGUUCGAUCCGAAGCAAGGCAGAAGUCAUCGGCCGAUCUCGUACUGUAGCAUCAUUCGGCCGAUUCCCAACUGUGCUUUUCCAAUUUCCUCUCUUCUUGGCGCCGAUUUUACUAGUGACGAAAUCCGGCGUCAACACGUGCCCUCCCAGUUUUGGAGUAAAACAUAGUCUUUUACUUCGAAAUUCUUUACAACCUCCC